rnacentral:rRNA from 1 species
GACGAACGCUGGCGGCGUGCUUAACACAUGCAAGUCGAACGGAAAGUCCCUGCUUUUGUGGGGUGCUCGAGUGGCGAACGGGUGAGUAACACGUGAGUAACCUCCCCUUGACUUUGGGAUAACUUCAGGAAACUGGGGCUAAUACCGGAUAGGAGCUCCUGCUGCAUGGUGGGGGUUGGAAAGUUUCGGCGGUUGGGGAUGGACUGGCGUCUUAUCAGCUUGUUGGUGGGGUAGUGGCUUACCAAGGCUUUGACGGGUAGCCGGGCUGAGAGGGUGACCGGCCACAUUGGGACUGGGAUACGGCCCAGACUCCUAAGGGAGGCAGGGGUGGGGAAUAUUGCACAAUGGGCGGAAGCCAGAUGCAACAACGCCGCGUGCGGGAAGACGGCCUUCAGGUUGGAAACCGCUUUCGCCUGUGACGAGGCGAAAGUGACGGUAAUGGGUAAAGAAGCACCGGCUAACUACGUG